GACCACUCAAGUGGCCUAGUGGUUAGAGUGUUUGUCUCUGAUGUGGGAGGUCAUGGGUUCGAUCCCCAGCUAAGUCA